rnacentral:rRNA from 1 species
AAACCUGAUGCAGCAACGCCGCGUGAACGAUGAAGGUCUUCGGAUCGUAAAGUUCUGUUGCAGGGGAAGAUAAUGACGGUACCCUGUGAGGAAGCCCCGGCUAACUACGUGCCAGCAGCCGCGGUAAUACGUAGGGGGCUAGCGUUAUCCGGAUUUACUGGGCGUAAAGGGUGCGUAGGUGGUCCUUCAAGUCGGUGGUUAAAGGCUACGGCUCAACCGUAGUAAGCCGCCGAAACUGGAGGACUUGAGUGCAGGAGAGGAAAGUGGAAUUCCCAGUGUAGCGGUGAAAUGCGUAGAUAUUGGGAGGAACACCAGUAGCGAAGGCGGCUUUCUGGACUGCAACUGACACUGAGGCACGAAAGCGUGGGUAGCAAACAGGAUUAGAUACCCUGGUAGUCCACGCUGUAAACGAUGAGUACUAGGUGUCGGGGGUUACCCCCCUCGGUGCCGCAGCUAACGCAUUAAGUACUCCGCCUGGGGAGUACGCACGCAAGUGUGAAACUUAAAGGAAUUGACGGGGACCCGCACAAGUAGCGGAGCAUGUGGUUUAAUUCGAAGCAACGCGAAGAACCU